AUACGAAGGGGGCUAGCGUUGUUCGGAAUCACUGGGCGUAAAGCGCACGUAGGCGGAUUUUUAAGUCAGGGGUGAAAUCCCGAGGCUCAACCUCGGAACUGCCUUUGAUACUGGAGAUCUGGAGUCCGGAAGAGGUGAGUGGAAUACCGAGUGUAGAGGUGAAAUUCGUAGAUAUUCGGUGGAACACCAGUGGCGAAGGCGGCUCACUGGUCCGGUACUGACGCUGAGGUGCGAAAGCGUGGGGAGCAAACAGGAUUAGAUACCCUAGUAGUCC
rnacentral:rRNA from 1 species